rnacentral:rRNA from 1 species
UACGUAGGGUGCAAGCGUUAAUCGGAAUUACUGGGCGUAAAGCGUGCGCAGGCGGUUUUUGUAAGUCUGUCGUGAAAUCCCCGGGCUCAACCUGGGAAUUGCGAUGGAGACUGCAAGGCUAGAAUCUGGCAGAGGGGGGGUAGAAUUCCACGUGUAGCAGUGAAAAUGCGUAGAGAUGUGGAGGAACACCGAUGGCGAAGGCAGCCUUCUGGGCCAACACUGACGCUCAUGCACGAAAAGCGUGGGGGAG